CUGGCGGCGUGCCUAAUACAUGCAAGUCGAGCGGAUCUUGUCCUUCGGGAUAAGGUUAGCGGCGGACGGGUGAGUAACACGUAGGCAACCUGCCGAUAAGACUGGGAUGACCUCCGGAAACGGAAGCUAAGACCGGAUACGUUGGCGUUUCGCAUGAAGCGUCAUGGAAAGACGGAGCAAUCUGUCACUUAUCGAUGGGCCUGCGGCGCAUUAGCUAGUAGGUGGGGUAAUGGCUCACCUAGGCGACGAUGCGUAGCCGACCUGAGAGGGUGAACGGCCACACUGGGACUGAGACACGGCCCAGACUCCUACGGGAGGCAGCAGUAGGGAAUCUUCGGCAAUGGACGAAAGUCUGACCGAGCAACGCCGCGUGAGUGAAGAAGGGUUUCGGCUCGUAAAACUCUGUUGCCAAGGAAGAACGCUGGGUAGAGUAACUGCUAUCCAGGUGACGGUACUUGAGAAGAAAGCCCCGGCCAACUACGUGCCAGCAGCCGCGGUAAUACGUAGGGGGCAAGCGUUGUCCGGAAUUAUUGGGCGUAAAGCGCGCGCAGGCGGUUUUUUAAGUCUGGAGUUUAAACCUGGGGCUCAACCUCGGGUCGCUCUGGAAACUGGGGAACUGGAGUGUAGGAGAGGAAAGUGGAAUUCCACGUGUAGCGGUGAAAUGCGUAGAGAUGUGGAGGAACACCAGUGGCGAAGGCGACUUUCUGGCCUAUAACUGACGCUGAGGCGCGAAAGCGUGG
rnacentral:rRNA from 1 species